rnacentral:rRNA from 1 species
UACGUAGGUGGCGAGCGUUGUCCGGAAUCACUGGGCGUAAAGGGCGCGUAGGCGGUCAAUUAAGUCAGGUGUGAAAACUUUGGGCUUAACCUGAAGAUUGCAUCUGAAACUGGUAGACUUGAGUGCAGGAGAGGGCAGUGGAAUUCCUAGUGUAGCGGUGAAAUGCGUAGAUAUUAGGAGGAACACCAGUGGCGAAGGCGGCUGCCUGGACUGUAACUGACGCUGAGGCGCGAAAGCGUGGGGAGCAAACAGGAUUAGAUACC